GCAGGGAGCCAUAUCUCCCUGCAGCUCUCACUGACGCUAAGCAUGGUUGAGCCUGGCCAGUACCUGGAUGGGAGACCUCCUGGUGAAAACUAAAGUUGCUGCUGGAA
rnacentral:rRNA from 1 species